UUGCUUUGUCCUAAGUCAAACUGCUCUAACUUUGACCAAGUUUUUAGGAAAUUAUAUUAACAUCGAUAGUACCAAAUAAAUACAGAGUCCAAGACAUAUUUCAUGGUUGAUUUAAUUAAACUAAUUGAAUGUUGUUAAUGUUGGUACUUUUUCUAUAAACUUGGUCAAAGUUAUGGAAGUUUGACUUAGGACAAAGCUAA
rnacentral:pre_miRNA from 1 species